GAAGUCCGAGAUUGGAUCUGGUAGAAAUUUUGUAGCUGAAGCACAUGGGAGCGAAAAUGCUGAAAUGGAUGACACUCUGGUUGCUGCUGCUGAAGCUAGUGAACCUAAACCUUAUGUGAACUUAGGGACAACUGAAAGUAAAGAUGCUUCUACUAAUAUGGAGAACAUGGCUGGUUUCAGACAGAACAUUGAGGAAGAAGCACCUCAGGCACCUCCAUCCAUGGAAAUAGCUAGUGAAGAUGUUACACCUGCUGAAACUCUUGCAGACAAGUCUGAGGUAGGAUCUGGAAGAGAUGAUGAUGAUGAAGUAAAAGGCAGCAAAAGGGCUGAACUGGUCAAAGUAGUAGUUACAGAUGCUGAAGCUAGUGAACCUCAACCUUGUAUGGAUGCUGGAGCACCUGAAAAUAAAGAUGGUUCUGCUAAUUUGUUGGAGAACAGGGUUAAUUCCAGACAGAGCAGUGAGGACGAGGCAUCCUCAUCGUUGGAAAUAGCUAGUCAGGAUGCUACGCCUGCUGAAUUUCUUGCGGAGAAGUCUGAGAUCGGAUCUGGAGGAGAUUUUGUAGCUGGAGUACAAGGAAGUGGAAGGACUCAACUGGACAAAACUGUUGUUGCAGAUGCUGAAACUAGUGAAACUCAACCUCACACUUAUGGGGAAGCCUCUGAAAGUGAAGAUAGUUCUGCUAGUUUGUUGGACAAAAUAGUUGAUUCCAGACAGAGCAUCGGGGAAGAAGCUUCUUUGUCCUCAGUAAUGGCUAGCCAAGAUGUUACACCUGCUGAAGUUUUUGUGGAGAAUUCUGAGAAUGGAUGUGGUAGAGAAUCUGUAGCUGCUGUACAAGGGACCAGUAGAGCUGAACUGGACAAAACUGUUGUCGCAUAUACUGAAGCUAGUGGACCUCAACCUUGUACAAAUCAGGGAGCAUCUGAAAGUAAAGAUGGUUUACAACAGCUUGUUGAAGAGUACUCGGACAUGGCUAGUGAUAUGUAGUCUUCGCUUCGGACAUGCCACAUUACAAUUCCUGGUUGGUUAUAAUCCAGAUAUUCUUUAGACUUUGGACUUUGUGACUCUAUCCUGAUAUUGAAAGGAGUUUGGCUGGCUUAUCGUUCAAUUUCUUGAAUUUAGAUCUGCUGUGUGGUAUUAUUAGUCUUUAUUUGCUGCCUAUACUAUAGUAGUGAUUCCCAACGAAGAAGAGGGGGAAACAUGAAUUGAAUGUAUAGUUCGCACUUUUAAUGAUCUACUGACUCAUGUACAGUGUUCCGACUUGGAUGUUUAAGUUCAGUUGAAGUGUUCUCCAAUCUUUAUCCGGGUUUGACUUGGAUGUAUAUGCCUCUUCUUUUGUGUCUCACUCGUUGCAUUUCUUGCUCCAUCCUAAUU
rnacentral:lncRNA from 1 species